GGGGGCAUAGCUCAGUUGGCUAGAGCACUGCCUUUGCAAGGCAGGGGUCCAGGGUUCGAGUCCCUGUGCCUCCACCA
rnacentral:tRNA from 1 species